rnacentral:lncRNA from 1 species
GGAGCGCCCGAGGGCGCUAUUUAUUGAUCUUUCAUACACAUCUUACAUCAAGGAUACGAAAUCCAUAGAUUACAAAGUUGCUCAAAGCGAGCAACACUGGACACUGGAUACUCCUAUCAGUUGAGCUAAUACAGUAUGUGGUAGGGGAUACAAUACAGUAUGAGCUAAUAUAGUAUGUGGUAGCUAAUACAAAGCUUUUUCAGUGAGUCCUUUGCACAGUUAUGAGCAACACCAUUCAAAUCUCUUUUGAUGUGAUAUAUCUUUAACAUAAGAGACUUGGAAACAAUGAAGUAUUCUGCAAUCUGUGAAUGGAUUUCACAAUGUCCCGGGUUUGAAAUUCGCCAGCAUUUGCAGCUCUUGCAAGUACCUGAUUAUCUGUCAGAAGGGUGGACCGAUAAAACCUGUAACUUUGGACUCUACCUGAAGCCCUUUCAUUAUAGCUUGAGCAGCUUGAUGCACCUGAGUUGGAUGUCCCUAUUUUCUUCCAAAAUGUUUGUCAUUUCCCGCCUUCUAUAUACACCAGAAAAAGUCAUUAGAUUGCAUAUGGAAGCAUAGUGGUGUCCUGAACUUAAGAUUGCUUGAAUAAUAUUAGGAAUUGAUCUGUAAUGUUGCACAAAGUAAUCAGACCUAAGAAACCAUGGUUCUAAGAACUAAGCAUCUUUAGCAAAUGGGCAUGAGAAAAAUAAAUGAAUGUCAUCUUCCUCCGCCUCACACAUGGAGCAGUAUUUGGAGAUGUGUCUGGCAUACAUACCAGCCCGCAUGCCUGUUGGAACUGCUCUCUCAAGAAGCCUCCAAGCAAACGUCUGAAUUCUCGGAGCAAUGCUAUUGUCUUUCCAAACCUAGCAAAAAAGUGUUUUCACAAGAG